rnacentral:tRNA from 1 species
GAGGUUUAGCUCAGUUGGGAGAGCGUCUGCCUUACAAGCAGAGGGUCGGGGGUUCGAGUCCCUCAACCUCC